GGAAGAGAGACAGAUUUCUGGGAGAUAGAGGCACGAGAGAUUCAAGGAUAGACGCUGAGGAAGAAGUGUCCCGGACUGACGGAAAGGAGGCCAGAAUACAGGAGACAUUCGCCCAGGAACGCUGAGGAGAUGGACAGACAGAAACCAGCAUUGGAUAAAGAGGAGAUUUGCCCUGGGACUCGGAGGCGUGAAGCUGAGGAGAGUACAAGAGUGAAGGCUCCUGUUAAAACAUGGAAGAGACCCCACAGACGAAAUGAAUGAAGAUUUAAGUGGAAGUCACAGGCAUGACCAACAGAUGGCACCAAAAAUCCCAGUCUCAGUGAAAUCAACCUCCACCUGCUGCUUCAACCUCAGUAGCUGCAGCUAUACACAGACAGCGGUCUCCUCGCCCACUUUC
rnacentral:lncRNA from 1 species